UUGACUGACUGAGGCUGCCAACUGUUCAUAUAAAGUUAGACCUUUCUCUCUAAUUUAGCAUCAGUCCUCUCUUGUAACUUAGCCUCCCUUUCUUGUUCCUUUCCUUGACACCUUCUUGCUUCCGCCAUAGAAUCAUGAAAUCUUGAUUAUGAAGGCCCUCACAUCACCAAGGCCUUGCUCCUGAAUUACUCUCUCACGACUGGGUAUUCUGAUUCCAAUGAGAGGCAAGAAUUUUCUGAGUCAUCUCGAGCUCACUCGAAGGUCUCGCACUCCUUUGAACAACUUGGCAAGUAGGACCUUUUCCGUAUGAACCUCUUCUCUCACCUACAAAGCCGCUCUGGCACGAUUCUCAUUCUGCUUCAAGCUGUUAGCAUCAACACCCAUUAGAGCAGAAGAUUCAAUCUAAGGCUUGAAAUCCUCUUCCACAAAAGAGAAGACUCAAAAGUCCUCCAAGGCCAUGCAUCCCAUUCAAAUGCUAAUAAUCUGAAUGAAAGGUUGGGUGGUCCUUGAAGAGGAACAACAGGUUGUUGCAACAGGACAACUAG
rnacentral:lncRNA from 1 species